rnacentral:lncRNA from 1 species
AGGCGGAGGAGAAAGAGGACAAGUGCGGGAAGCUGAGCUUGCGGCCGGCCAAGAGCAUGGACUCGCUCAGCUCCGUGCCCUUCGGCGGAGAGGAGGACCCCCGGCUCAGCACCACGCGCUCGGUGAAGCAGCCGCCGCAGCGCAGGGAGAGCUUCGACACCUGCCCCUCGCCGGGGCCGGCAGAGCCCUUCCCCGCGCUGCAGGAGAGCCCCGAGGAGAAGCCGAAGGCGCAGGAGGAGCUGCGGGGGGGCCCCGAAGCGGAGGGCGAGAGCGGAGCCAGGUCGGAGCCCAGCACCCCCAAACCGGGCCGGGCGGCACUGCUGGGGGCCUGGGGGGGGCCGCUCACCCGCGGCCACCCGCAGCCGCGCCGAGAAGUGCGGGGGGGUGCACAUCUCCGGGCCCUUCUCCGUCACCGUCCCCUUCCACAUCACCUCCAACCUCUCCCGCCUGACGCGGGGGCAGCCGUGCCCAGGCGCUGGGCUCCGCCAGCCCCCCGCCACCCACCCACCGCAGCGCCGGGGAGCCCGCGGCCCCCGAAAUCCCCACGGGUGAGAUAUUUGGGGAUGGGACAGACCCGGUGACACCGGGGGGGGGGGUUUUGGGGAACCCCCCUGACCCUCAGGGUGUCUUCCAGGGGAGGCGAAGGCGGCGGAGGAGACGCGGCUGUCGCUGGAGCUGCGCGCCUCCUUCGCCUUCCUGGACAGCCAGGACGCGGGGCUGGAGCACGGGGACGGGGACGGGGACGCGGCGGGACGGGCUGCCACCCUGGGGGCAGCAGCCUCGAGGACGGUGACGGGUUCCUGGCCCUCGAGGAGGGCAUGGAGGGCGGCUUCAUGAACCCCGGGGAGCCCCCCGCGGAGCAGCCGGGCAGUUACCUGUCCAUCGAGGAGUGCAUGGACGAGGAGCUCUUCUACAUGGCGCCCAGCGGCUCCGAGCCCGAGGACGCGGCGGGGGACAGCGACUCGGACAUGUUCCUCAGCGCCCACGACGAGCUCAGCCCACUGGCGGCUGAGCCCCCCGCCGGGCCGGGGGGGGUGGGCACGGGCACGGCCUGGGGGCCGCCGAGCCCCCCGCUGCCGCGGGACACGUCCCCAUCGCCGGCGGGGGAAGAGGCUCCGGGUACUGGGGAGCACGGAGAAGCCCCCCCCGGGGAGGCGGAGGAGGGGGGGGCGUCAGGAUGGCCCCUGGAGGAAGAAGAGGAGGAGCACAGGGGGGGCGGCGGGGAGGGGACCCCCGGUGGUGGCUGCAGCCUGGGGAGAACUGAGCCGAGCCCCCAAAUGGGGCCGGGGGCCGAGGCAGGAGCGGAGCCGGCUCCCGGUGCCCCAGACGGGGAAGUGGAGGAGGACGGGGCCGGCGCUGAGCCCCCCACACCAGAGCAGCCGGGGCAGGGGUCCCAUGCACCCCCCCCAGCCGAGGAGCCCCCCUCACAGCCCACCGAUCCCCUGAUCUCCGAGGCUCCCUCGGAGGCUCUGCCCCCGCCGGGAUCCAGCCCCGAGGAGGGCUCAAGCCCCCCCAUAGCCCCCACCCCACAGCUGGAGGCCGCUGGGGGGGCCCAUCCCACCCCCGGCGGGGCCGUGCUGCGCCGUGACGGCAGCGCCCCGGUGCGCCUGGCCGCCCGCCUGGUGCGGGUGCAGCAGGCCCGCUCCUGUGCCCGUGGUGCCGCCCAAGCCGCAGUUCGCCAUCGUCCCCCCGGCCCUGCGGCCCAGGACCCUCCCGGCUGAGGGCGCCGACGCCGCCAGCCCCCCCCCAAAAAACGGGACGGCUCCCGGGAGCCCCGUUGGGGAGGGGGCCGUGGGGCGGCGGGCGGGGUGGCGGGAGGGGGGCAGCGUCUCCUUGGACGGUGCCGCCGGUGCGGCGGCCGAGCGGCAGCCGGUGCGGAGGAUGCAGACGUACGGCGGCGAGGAGCAGGCGCCCGGUGCCGCCAAGGCGCUGCCGUUCCAGCGGGCCCCCCUGCGCCCCCGCCUGCUGCGGCCCCUCAGCUGCGUGGCCGCCCCCCAGGGCCCCCCUCAGCGCGGCCGCCCGGGCCCGGCGCAGGAGGAGGAGGCCGGGGAGGCCCGGGGCACCGCGAGGAGGCCGCU